rnacentral:rRNA from 1 species
AGACGGAGGGUGCGAGCGUUGUUCGGAAUUACUGGGCGUAAAGGGCGCGUAGGCGGCCUGGCCAGUCUGGUGUGAAAGCCCGGGGCUCAACCCCGGAAGUGCACCGGAAACUGCUGGGCUUGAGUCCGGGAGAGGAGGGCAGAAUUCCCGGUGUAGGGGUGAAAUCCGUAGAUAUCGGGAGGAACACCAGUGGCGAAGGCGGCUAACUGGGGCAAUACUGACGCUGAGGCACGAAAGCGUGGGGAGCAAACAGGAUUAGAUACCCUAGUAGUCC